GACGAACCGUGCAAACGUUGUUCGGAAUCACUGGGCUUAAAGGGCGCGUAGGCGGGCGGGCAAGUCAGGGGUGAAAUCCCACGGCUCAACCGUGGAAGUGCCUUUGAUACUGCCGGUCUGGAGGGAGGUAGGGGCGUGCGGAACUUCCGGUGGAGCGGUGAAAUGCGUAGAUAUCGGAAGGAACACCGGUGGCGAAAGCGGCGCGCUGGACCUCUACUGACGCUGAGGCGCGAAAGCCAGGGGAGCAAACGGG
rnacentral:rRNA from 1 species